ACCCUUUCGUUUUAUUAGAGUCAUACCUUCUCGUAACCAAUAAUUAAUUAUAGUAUUUCAAUAAUUAUUAAACCAUAUAAUAAAUCACAUAAUAUGGGCCACAAUAAUUUUUAAAUGAACGAGUUCCACAAAGAAAGAAAGAAAGAAGGAAGGAAGCCAUAGUAAGAAGAAACAAAAUGUUCCUCAUACUUCCCCCCACCGAAGAAUAAAAGAGAGAAUCAGAACAAAUUUAUUGAAAAUUGCUCGCAAUCAAGCGAUCCAAUCGUCAUCUCUUCAGAGAGCAGAAAGCCCAGAUCCACCGGGGAAAUAAGCCACUACAAUAGGUGGGGACUCGGGCUCCCUCUUCCCAAUUUCCUUCAUUUUCUCUUCACUCGCGACGCCAUCUUUGCUGCCUCUCGAAUCGCACCGCAUGUGAUCUUCUCCUUCGCAGUUCACCCUCUUCGCACAACCACCGGAGAAGCACCCCGAGCACGAGCCGGAGACGAGAAUCAUAGCGGCCGCAGCAGCGACUACGACGAUGGAAAGAAGGUGUGAGGAGCAGAAAGUGAACUUUCCGGAGCUUUUCGAUGUGAUGCCGAUCUCAGUCGCUUCCUCUCUUUAUAUAUAUAUAGGGUUGAAGGCGGUUCCCAUGUGUUUGAAUACCAAACCCUAACUUGAUCAGUUUCCUCCUCAAGAAAUUUCUGGGAGACUCCGUAAUUAGUGGUGAAUAAGGAAAAUGCGUUGGGGUUCAUUCUUUUAAGAGAGCUGAUUGGACUAAUCGAUGUCAUUAUUACAUGACGACAAACAUGCUUAGUGACUAAGGAAGCGGUAGUUGAGAAAUCCUAGAGCAAUCGGCGGUAUUUCUUUCCUUUCUUGGGGAUUUUCUUUCCUUUUCAACACUUCGAAUCCAAUGACGAAGUUUUCUCGUAGCCUGCCUUAUUCCACGGCUCGAGAACCAUGUGGGAUUUUGCUGCCUCCGCGGGGCGGUUGUUAUAAGCGGCAAUGAGUCCAUUUGAUGAGAUGCCAUGCCCCGCGACGGUUCAAGCCUCGUAUAAUGACGUGUCGUGCAAUGAUGUGAUAUUUCAUGUGAUGAUAUAUCAUGUGGUGACAUGUUAGGUAAUAUGAUGUCGAAUCAUGUAAUGAUGUGUCAUGUGAUGACAUAAUGAGACAAUUUCCUUUUUUCUUUUAUUUUCUUUUUUCUCCCUCUCUCCUCCACCAUUGCUGAGAAAGAGAGAGAGAGAGAGGAGAAAAUUACCAAAAUAGUCCUAAACUUAUUACAAAUUUUUCCUAUUUAGUCAUAUUACAAUUGUGUCUAUUUGGCCAAAUUCGACCGGCCGACGCUAACGUGAUGCCGGUUGGUGCCGAACCAUGCCGACUUGGUAGUUUGAUAAUAACAUUUUUUUCUUUUUCUUUUUUUUCUUUCUUCCUCUUCUUCUAGCCAGUCGCUAGACUAGCCAAAGGUUACAACUAGGGAGGUUGACCUUGCUAGCCAUGGUGAGGCCUCGCCAUCAUGGGCGAGCUUGCCCUCACCAUCGCUAAGGGAGGUUGAGCUCGCCAUGGCUAGGCAAGACCUCACCAUCACGGGUGAGCUCCCCCUCACCCUUGCCAAAUCUAGGCAACAGUGAAGUCAACCUCAUUAGCUGUAACCUUUGGCCAAUCUAAAGAAGAAGAAAGAAAAAUAUAAAAUUAAUAAAAAAAUUUGAAAAAAUAAAAAUAUUGUUAAGAAAUUGCCACAUCAACGUUGAUCGACCCAUCGACGUGGAUGCCAAUGAUGGUUGGCAUCCAUGUCAACUACGGCCAACCAAAUUAUGCCAAAUGGAUUGAAUUAGCACAAUUACAAAAAGUUUAAAACUAAAUUGGUCAAAAAAAGUUCAUGAUUGAAUUGGAAAAAUUACAAUAUGUUUAAGACCGUUUUGAUAACUUUCCCAGAACUACUCUUGACAAUGGCUUACAAGUCUAGUUCCGUUCUCUCUGUCACUCAAUCAUCGUUGCUCCUCAACAGCCAUGUCAUUGGCUUCCGACACGGAUCUCUCUUGCCGAGACCUGAUCGUUCAGAUCACAAACAACUGCAUCAUCCCUUUUCUGCUCGACUUCUUCAAUCAAGUGAAGUAGCGAUGUGACAUCCCGAUUUUUCUCAAGUUUAUUUUCAGUCAAUUGAGUCGGGCAAUUCAUCCGUGCAUGUAGUUCGUCUCUUAGAGUUGGCCACUCACGAGGGAACUAGUUUAUUGAGUGAAGUAAUUAAGGAAUUUUACCGCGUCAGACUUGGGGACUGAUCACCCUCGGGUCGAAUGCAAGAAAAUUUCCCCAAAAGCUACUCAAUGGAUUAGGCGAGCCGAAAUUGCACCGGAUUGAAUUCAGUCGUAAAAAUUGGGAUUGAACUUAGAAGUUGGAAGCCGAUCAUGUCACAUACCUUAGUAGGAUCAUUGGAUUAAUUUAUGGACUUUGAUUUGGACUCAAUUGGAAGAGAAUUGAUGGAAAUUGAAAUAAUUAAAUGUGCAAGAACUUGGACCCCGGCGGAAAAUGAAUUGGACCUAUUGGAAGAUGUUGUGAAGAUUUGAGUUAGUGGAGAGUGACAUCAGCAGGUGAUGUCAUGGUGGAGGCCAAAAUUAAGGAGAGCUUGACAAGUGUCACAAGCCAAUUGGCUCACCAAAAGUGGGGGUGUCCCAUCCACUUCAUCUUCAACCUCUAGCACCUUGGGAAGGGAAAUUCGAAAAUUGCGGGGGGGGGAGAGAGAGAAUCCGGCGAGAGAGUUGCAGCUGGUCCGUCCGCCCCUUCGUCGCGUCUCCGCCGCUACCGUCUCGCCCGCCGUCGCACGCCGUCGCCGUUCGCCGCUCGUCCGCGUGUGAGGCCCCGGGUGCGAGCUCGUCGCGUCUCCGUCGCCACCGUCUCCUCGCCCGAGCUGCUGGUAACCGACCACCGAAGCUUCCGUCGCCGCCGACCGUCCGCUCAAGCCCCCGCCGGUUGUUGCACAAGCUGUCGCCGGUUCUCCUCCGCCGUUUCUCCGCCCGUUCAGCCACCGUUCCGUCCCCUUCCAAGCUCGGUUAGUUGCUGGAAAAACCAGCAAGAACCAGCUCCUUUUAAGCUCGGUUUGGUCCCCUUUUAGUGCUCAUUUGGUCUUAAUCCGUGUAGGUUUGUCGUCGGCGUCGUCGUGCUCUUCACCGGAGACCCGUCGGAAAGCGAUUCCGGUGAGUUUACCUCACUAAUCAGCGAUUAGCGAGAUAAUGAUGCCCUAAGUAUGUUUAGCUUAAUUGAUUGAGAUUAGGUGGAUAGAUUGGCUUAAUUAGUUGUGGAUUAUAUUAAGGUGAUUGAUUAAGGUAAAGUGUGUUUAGUUAAUGGUUAAGUAUGUUUAUCUUUAAAAUAAACCUUGAUUGACUUAAAGGAAUUUGUUUAUGAUUUAAAUAAAUGCUUCGAAAUUGUUGGAUUAUUUAAUAAUAUAUCUUAUUCCCAAAUUCAUUAAAAUAUUAUUUUAUAAAGAAAAAAAAAACUCGAAAAUUCAUUUUUUGAUCCUAUUUGCUCAGAACUUCGUGCCGAUCGCUGAUAUAUGUUUAGAAUUUGAAUUUGAUGAGUAAAUAUUGCAAAUUGAAUGUUGAUUGUGAAAAAUAGGAAUUUUAUUCAAAAAUUCCCACGUGUCGGGUUUGACACCGAAAUCGAAUUUGGAAGGGUUAAUAUUGAAAUUGGAGUAUGUGAGUGACGUGUAAAGUAUCCAAUGAUCGGUAUUGAAUUGUCGUGUGCUAGUUGAAAGGCUCGGGUCGCAGUAGUGGCUAGGCCGACUGGAUCCUUAUUCUUCUAGAAAUGCCGUCAAGAGAAUGACGUGGCAUGGUCGCAGUAGUGGCGAGACCGACUGGACCAUUAUUAUUCUAGAAAUGCUGUCGAUAGAACGACGUGGCAUGGUCGCAGUAGUGGCGAGACCGACUGGACCUUUAUUAUUCUAGAAAAGCUGUCGAUAGAACGACGUGGCAUGGUCGCAGUAGUGGCGAGACCGACUGGACCUUUAUUAUUCUAGAAAAGCUGUCGAUAGAACGACGUGGCAUGGUCGCAGUAGUGGCGAGACCGACUGGACCUUUAUUAUUCUAGAAAAGCUGUCGAUAGAACGACGUGGCAUGGUCGCAGUAGUGGCGAGACCGACUGGACCUUUAUUAUUCUAGAAAAGCUGUCGAUGGAACGACGUGGCAUGGUCGCAGUAGUGGCGAGACCGACUGGACCUUUAUUCUUCUAGAAAUGCUGUAAUGUUAGUAGAUAGCCUACCUGCGAGUAGGUUGUGCCCUUGUGUGGCAAUGGAUAAUGAUGACAUGGAAUGCUUGCCGUGGUUGUGAAAUUAAGUGAAAUCGAUUGUGUUCCGAUGGCUUACAUUCUUAUCAUUACUGGUGCUUGAGUGAUAUGUAUUAUACUAACCUGCAGGAAGCCAAGAAGGCGAGGUAAGUCUUCUUGAUGUUGUGGCUAAGCUGCUUCGGGGCGUAUUUACUUUCUAAUAGGGGUUUAGGAGGGGUGAACUUGCUGAGACAAAGUCUCAUCCCGGUUUGGGGAAAAAUAUUACAGGACCGUAGAUGGCGAGACCCCCGGAGAUGAGUGGCCUGCCGACGGAGAUUGACCAGACGACUGAGAGUACUCCUGACCCCGGGAGCCCCUGGGUCUAUCAGUUGGUGAGGACCACCAUUUGGGUCGAGGUGAACGUGGAUAAUAGAGUACCUUACUUUUUUAGGGCUUGGUUUCGUACCGGAGCAGAUGGGGUUAGGAUUGGCCCCCUUGACAGCAUGGACAUUCCACUGGCGGUGAUGACUGCCAUUUUGGAAGAAGGGGUAGCAGAUCAUCCUGAUGGUCGAGUGGUCAACGCUUCGCCCCCGGCCUCUUGGGUGACUGAUCCUGAGGAUGUAGGGUCGACGAAUGGGGAUGACCAAUAGUCCUAGGAUUGUGCCUUUUUCCUUUUUGGGCGGACUGAUUCGUGUUAUGUAGGCUAACCCUCUUUUGAUGUGCAUAACUCUGACUCAUUUUUGGUGUAUAGGCCCUGGAUCCAGUUGAUGUAUGUAAGCCCUGGACUGUUGAUAUUGUAUGAAAGUAUGAUGUUUGAUUUUGAGUUGAUGUUCCUGCUGUCCUAUCCCGUAUGCUUUUGUAAGGGGUUUCUUAGUACGUUCCGCUUGCGCAUUAAAUAAAUAAAAAUUGGGGUCGGCGACACUACCUGGGAAUGUCGCAUUUGCAUGACCAUGGCGGGUUGUUCACGUGUCUCGGGGUUCGGGGCGUGACAAGCGACACAUCCUUUGCCCGAACGAUGAGGCCCAAGUCGAGGGCUGUCCUCACCUAGGUAGGCGUUGGCCAUUAACAAGGGAGGGAGGGAAGGGAAUAAAAAAAAUAAAAAAAUAAAAGGAAAAGGAAAUAAAUAUACCUAGAAUUUUUUGACUAAAAUACCCCUUCUCUAGAAGCCAGAAUAGUCACAUGCUCAUUAGCCAGCCAAAUAGGUCCAUAUUUAAAACGAUUUGAUCACUUUGGGUUCUUAUUUGAAUUGACUUGGUCAUUUUAGGUCUUAUUUGAGACAAUAUCCAUUAUGGACCCUUUUUUGAGGAAAUGGCUCAAUUUAGGACCCUUAUUUGAAAUUUUCCUUUUUAAUUUGUAAUAAAAAAAAUUGGAAUUUAGUUAAACUUUCACCUUUAGUUGCUUAUUCUUUUCAAGUUCAGCUACUCGAUUCUCAAGCUUACAAAAAUACAUUAAAUGGGGGAAAAUAUUGGAAUUGAGGAAAUAAUCUAGAUCGGUGCCAUGUGUUGCGAUCUAAUAUAGGGUAUCCCGAAUUAGGAAAGACUUAUUCACAUUUUUUUUUUUUUUUUUUGGUAUUGGAGGAACCAGCUUGUAGCCAACAGCCACGCCGUUAUUCACAUAUUUGUUCCCUUGAGUGUCAUUGAAAAACUUUCUAUAAAUACCUAUUAAACUACAAUUUUUUUAAAUCUAAAAUGAUGCGAUUCAAAUUGACCAAUUUCAUUAAUAUUGAUCCGUUUUCAUGGAUACAAAUUAUAACCUACGCCUGACCCAUAUUUGGUAUUCGUGUCAUCACUUGUAUUGUUUUUUUACCUUCUCAAGUUCGUAUAAACUUGGUCUAAUAAGAUGCAAUGUUUCCUUUCAUGAAAAAUGGAUCGAAACGUAUCUAAGCUCUGUCACUUUCAAGUAAUUAAAGUUCAUAAGUGUCAUAUUCAAGGUCGGUAUUUUGCUCUAAUAUGGUGUCGAUCAGUAUUUUGUUCUAAUGUUGUGUCAAGUCAUUAACGUGGUUUAAUUACCAAAGUCACAUAAUUCAUAGAAUUAGUGUAACCUUUUAGUUUUUCUUCGAAACAACAUCGUGGACGGAUCUCCAUUUCGUGUCCUUGACAUUGGAGACCAAAAACACAUGAAUUGUGUUGUAUAGAGCUGUGUUUUGAGAUUGAAUUAGAACAGGGAUUAAUAUCAAUUACACAAUAUGUGCACUUUUUUUCUACACAUUCCACGUCCAUCACAUGAUCAUAUUUGAGUUGUCCAAACUGAGUAGUAGAGUUAAGUACGAGUAACUAGAGUAUACUCAAUAGAGUUUGGGCUCAUGAUUUUAAUAAUUGAUUCAAGUGACUGGUAAGUCUAAUUUUGAAAUCAAAUGUCUAUUUUAGAAAAAUCGAUGUGUAUGUUACCUCCAUCUUUUAUCGUGCUCAGCAAACUUAAGUUUUCAAAUUGAGAUAGAGGGUUGAAUGUUUACCGAUAUUCCUGAUUAUUAAUUAGGAAACCACUAGCAACAAGAUAAAAAAAAAAAAAAAAUGGUUCCUUCUUCAAAAUUCAAAUUGGGCAAGGCACUUCUGAUAUUCUAGUGGAGUCUAAUGUACGCUUUACCAUAGUUCUACCUUUUGUCUUCUUUUCGUAAAAUCUUUUUUUUUCCUUCAAGUUUUGCUUCUUAUUGAUUUCUCUUUUCUUGCUUGCUUAACCAUUUUUACAUCGGUCUACAUCGGUAGAGUUAACAACGGAUGUUGACCGGCAGCCGUUAGUGAUGCUUUCUGACAGACAUGAAUAUGAUGAAGAGUUUAUUCCAAAGUCUAGUUUUGCCCUUGACAGCAAGAACACAGACAGAUCUAGGCUAACCUUCUUUUUCUUUUUUCCAAUGGGUGGAGAGAAUGAUCCUAAAGUCUAAGCUCCACUGUGGGUGUUCAUGCAUGUAGUCAUGUCUUGAUCUUAAGCACUGAGGAAUUGAGUUAAAAGAGAAGAGAACCAAUGAAACAAGCAUAGAGAAAGCAACUUUUGACUAUUCUUUCACGUACAGAUAAUGUGAUACCUGAACACAAUAUAGCCUCAUAAAAUGGAAGAAAUCAAAAGACAUUCCACUGUUUUAUAUUCAAAUGAAUGAACCAAUACACAGAUCCUAGAAACCCUCCUGCACAAGCAAGGGAUCAUUAAUAGUCUUCAGUUUUUGUCAGGGCUCAGAGACGAGAAAGGUUAGAUCCUAUGGGGAAGUAAGCCAUCGGAAUUGGGGGAGGCUUGGACUUCCUCUUCGAACUGUUCUUAUUCAGCUUGGCUUCACCUCCGACAUGGCCGUCUUUGCUGAUCGAGCUGCUCUUGUUCGAGUGAUCCCCCCCUUCGCAGCUAAUCACUCUACUGUUAGAAUGAUCAGAGAAGCAGCUGAAGAGGCUCGAGAAGAGACUCAUGAUUGAGGAUGAGAACAACAAAGCGGGCAAGGAAAAAAAAAAGGGCGGAGAAUUCAACACUUCAGCUGAAUCUCUCUCAAAGAACAAUCGUAGGAAUUGGAGUUGAGAACUUCCUUUUCUGAGUUGCUUGGCGCAAAGACCCGAGCUUCUUCUUGAGCUAUAUAUAGACAUAUUGAUGAAGCUUUGGAGAGACUUGGCCGCCUUAGCUUCGAAAAUAAUAAAUGAUUUCAGUAACUUAGUCUUCCUUCCUCAGGUUCCUGGAAACGUCUAGGUUGGUUACCCUCAGCCGCCAACAAACCGAGUGUUCAUCAGGUCCAAAUGAGGUUAAUUUUGACUUUCUCUCGACGAAUGACCUUCUUUUUUUUUUUUAUUACUAAAUCGGCCUGCAACAUUAGUACAGGUGCGCUGUUUCUCUUUAGCAGCACGUUUGAACAUGUCAAACAGAGGUGCGUCAUAUCGUGGCUCCCUCUUUGACCCGCCAAUUCUUAAGAUUUUCCUUUUGUUUCAGUCUAAGCAAAAGCGAAAGUAAUGUUAUUUAAAUGUCAAAUAGUUACAGGAAAACUAUGUAUAAUCAAUAUUUGCAUAUUACAGAAGUUAUGAUGUUUGGAAUUUUUAAAAAAAUUCAAAGUGCAUGAACCGCAAGAUUUUGAUUAAAUAAUGCGAAGGGUUUGGUAAGAUCAAUCACGGCAUAGUAGAAGGACAACGGACCACGGAUCUAUUAGGAUGAUCCCCUUGGCAUCAUCCUACCAUUUCUCCAUCUGCGGUUGGAGUGUUUGAUUUGUACUAUUGCCAUGGCUCCUUCUCAAUGGGCCUAAUCAGAGUCACACAUCCUGAAUUAUGAUUGGAUCCACAGAUGUAUGGUGAAAAAGAAGACUUGCAAGUUGGAUACAGCAGGAGUUAUGCUAUAUACAAUGUACCAGCCGAUCCUAGACCACUGAUGAACUAGGAUUUCUCAAAUUGAGGAGUGAUUAGAUGUGAAACGGCAGCCAGACAUUGAAUCUCAUCAAUUGUAGAGAAUGCAAACGCUUUCUUUAAUGAACAUUUUGAUUAAGUCAAUCCGCGUUGCUGUACAGACCACGUUUCUUGAUUCGACCCAUCAGCACCUAAAUAUUCAAACUCAAUGGCAAUACUUCGAUGAUAUAUAAUACAGUCCCUGCGUACCUUUCAUGAGAACUUCAAUCUACACAAUUUUUUUUCAAAUUAGGUAACCAUCAAUUUGGCCCCUAAAUCAAAUGAAGAAAGGGACUGGGAGUCACGUUUCGUGGGGUCGAGAGCGUUUGACUCUACAUGCCACGACCCGCAAUCAUAUUUAAUUUGGAGGACCACCAUUUCCUUGCAGCCCACGUUAAUCAAGAUUCUUAUAUAAAGAUUUCUUCUCAAUUUUCUUGACCUAGAACCACGCGUCGUCGCGUCAUUGGCUUGGUGAUGUACGCUAGAAAAUCAGUUAUUGGGUACCAGACCAAUUCGUACCACGUGGUUUAGACUAGUUCUUAACUCGUGAUGUUUGGGUUUCGAAUUCCGUAAGAUACUUGCUUCUUUUUUUUUUUUUUUUUUAAUGGUGGGUUAAGGUAUGAGGUUACUUCUGGGGACAUGUCCUCCUCCUUGCUUAACGCCUCCAAGUUUGUCUGCAUGCAAUUUACCCUAGAAGUCAGGGCUUACAUAUGGGAUUUAUAUGAAGUGCGUUAGCGGGGUAAAAUACAUUUUACCCAAGUAGUCAUAAAAUAGAAACUCUCAUCUAUUAAAGGAAUCAACUUAUUUACGAAAAUUGAAGACUGUAUACGUGCAUGUCAAUGUCUGGACCAUCUUUUCAAUUUUUUUGUUUUGACAUAAUUAGUGUACCAAAUAAAAAUCAUUACAUGUUAUAUGCUUCAUGAAGACACUUUUAAAGGACUUUUAUUCUGCACAUUGGCGAUGUAAAAGUUGCUUUACACAAGCAAGUCUUGGAGAAUGGCAUACUUAAUUUGUAUUUUUAACUUGUAAAUUUAUGAACAUUAUAGCAUAGUCGAGCAGUCAAAAUCAACACUAAACACGAGUGGUUUUGAACAUCAUUGCUUUGGGAGAGUGGGUAGUUAUAAUUCUCAAAUCAAGAGCAGAUAAGAUAACUUGUAUAAACUUUCUUCUACGCAGACACUGUAUGAUCUAUUUGCUUUUUAGAAAUGUAUUCCAUAAAUGAAUUGAUUUAACCAUUCUAAGACUCUUUGUAUAUUUAGAAAAAAAAAAAAAAAGCUUUUGCAUUGGCUUUGUAUUUAAUAAAAAUCCCGAUAAAAAAUGGGAUAUGUUAAUUGGAGGAGGUGGAUUGCCGCAAGCACCACCAAGUAAGAUUUUAGAGGGGGUCAAAUUUUUGAAGUACCAAGCAAUGUUAAAGUGAAUUAGAACAGAAAUUAGUAUCAACUCCGCAGGAUGUACACUUUUUUUUUCUACACAUUUCACAUCCAUCAUAAGAUCAUAGUCGAUUCGUCCAAUCAGGUACCCAAGGCAAGUAUAAAUCGCCAUAGUACACUAAACACGUUAGUGCUCAAGUUUGGUCUUAACUGAUUUAAGUGAUUAGCAAGUCUAAUUAUGAAGGCCAAACUUGCAAUAUCAGAAAUAUCGAUGUGAUAUUACCUCUACUUUCAAACUCAUUUUUUGAGAUUUCAGAUUGCUUGUAUGUCAGUUUGGCUAUUGUUAGUGAUGCAAACAUACUUUCUAUCAGACAUGAAUAUGAUAGAUAAUUUAUUCCGAAGGUUAGUUUAACAUUAGAUCAAGCAAUUUGAAAUGUUAAAAAUGAGUCAAUCUAAAGGCUAGAGCUUCUUUUACCCUUGAUAACGAGAAGACAGACAGAUUUAGGCAAACCUUCUCUCUCUCUUUUUUCCCCUUUCCAAUUGGGUCUUUAUCUUAAUCACUGAGGAAUUGACUUGAAAGAGCAUAUCGAAAAAGCAACUUUUGAAUAUAAUUUCACGAAAAGAUGAUGGAUGCUUGAACACAACAAUGGCUAGAUCUACUUUUACCCUUGAUAGGACAAGCACAGACAGAUUUAGACUAACCUUGAAAGCAACUAGGGAACUGGGGAAACAAACAUAGAAAAAGCAACUUUUGACUAUUCUUUCACAUAAAAAUGGUGUGAUACUUUAACACAAUGCCAUACGCUAACCUCAUAAAAAGGGAAAACAAAAAACAUUUCUAAGUGUUGUACUUUCAGUUCCCAACAAUUUCUUAAGAACAAAUGUGGACCAAUACACAGAUUGUACCACCCUCUUGCACGAAAAAGAUGAUUAUAACUGGUCUUCAGUUUUCGGCCGGACUCAGAGAGGAGAGAGUUGAGAUCCGAUGGGGAAGUAGCUCAUUGGUAUUGGAGGAGGCUUGGACUUGCUCCUGGAGAAGUUCUUCUUCGAUUUGCCCUUACCUUUGACACGGCCGUGUUUGCUUAUCGAACAGCUCUUGUUCGAGUGAUCCUCUCCUUCCAAGCUGAUCACUCUACUAUUUGAAUGAUCAGAGAAGCAACUGAAGAGGCUCGAGAAGAGACUCAUGAUUGAUGAGGAUGAAAAAUGGCGAUGUUAUUCUACGAGCAGAAGAGGCUGGGAAAUCUGUACUUUUGCCGGUUCUCUUUAAGAACGGCUGAAGCCGUUGUAAUAGCUAGCUUUUCUGAGUUGUUGUGAGAAAUUCACGAUUGUUUCACUAUACAUAGAGACAUAUCGAUAAAGCUCUGAAGAAACGUGGCCUUAGCUUCCAAGAAAUAGGUGAUUAUUCAUUCAUGUGUCACCGUCACUACGCGGUCUUCCUCCUUUUCAGGUUCUUGGAACCAUCUGAGGUUCUCAUUAUUUGGCCUCAUUGUUAUCUCNNNNNNNNNNNNNNNNNNNNNNNNNNNNNNNNNNNNNNNNNNNNNNNNNNNNNNNNNNNNNNNNNNNNNNNNNNNNNNNNNNNNNNNNNNNNNNNNNNNNCUUGACUUCGCCGAGAAUUUUUCUAUGCUAAAAAAAAAUAUUAGAACGCGUAGAACGCGCCCAACCGAGCGGUGACUGCUUACAAAAAUAUUAUCCCCUACGAUUCACAUGGCUUCAUCCUCCACCAAUGGCCGUUGCAGUUGGUACCAUUGCCAUCGCGUCUCCAUCACUCCUCUCCCCUCUCACCAACCAUCCUCUUCUUCUUCUUCUGCAGCGUGCUUCUGUUGCUGCAUCGUCAUCUUAUUGGCUUGUUGAUGUUGUCAUUCGAGAAUAAUAUUUGGGUAUGAAACUGAGAACGUUUUUAAAACCUGCUAUUUCGGCCAAUUGUUGGACACGUAAGGAAGUUUCGUUUGUUUUCUUAUAGUUUUUACGCAACUGUCCCAUAAUUGUUUUUCUAAUAACGUAACGUCCUAAAAUUAAGCAACUUGAUCACUUUGGCCUUUCUUAAAAAUUCAACUAUUUUGAAUUUAAAAUUCUUUCCUCAAUUUGAGGAUAAUUUCUUUAAUUUAAGGAACAAUUUGCUUUCCUUGAUUUGAGGAAUCAAUUUUGCCCUCAUCAUAUAACUACUAUCUAUUUAAACUUAUUUUGUACAUCAAUAGGUAUGAAGGGAAAAUAAAAAAUUCAAAGUUUCAUUGCGUUCUUUAUGGUAUCAAAGCCCUCUGCAUAAGAGCAUUACUUGUAUCUUACGUUUUCUUGUUCAUGGCUCCAUCCACCAAUUUUGAAGAUUCUAACGAUGUCAAUACCUCACUUCAGUCGUCACCUAUUGUGAUUUCGAAUAUUUCCAGCCUCAUUGCAAUAAAAUUGAAUGUCUCCAACUAUCUCCUUUGAAAAUCCUUGUUCACGCCUAUUUUGUGUGGUCAUUAUUGAUGAAUCAUGUUGAUGGCUCUAUUCCUCCAUGGUCACUUGACGAUCCCACAUAUCCAAUAUGGUUUGAAAAAGAUUAGCUACUGUUAUCUUGGAUCAAUGCCACAUUAAGCAACUCCACUUUUUCGUAUAUCGUUGGACUUACUUUUGCCAAGCAAGCCUGGGAUUUGCUCAAUAAUAUAUAUGCCUCUACAGCACCUGCCCAUGUGAUAUCCCUCAAAUAGCGGCUUACUCGACUCAAGAAAGGAACUCAAUCUAUAGCUGAUUAUCUCCAGCAAUUUAAGGUCAUUUCUGAUCAGCUGGCAGCCUAUGGCUCUCCCCUAAACAAGAAUGAUCUACUUAUUCACAUCCUUCAUGGGCUACCAAUAUCAUAUUGACAAUUCUAUUCCUCGGUUUGUAUUUGCGCCAGGACAUCGACCCUAUCUAUUGAGGAACUUCGUACACUGUUAAUCUGUGAAGAUCUCUCUUUGACUGAAGAUACACUACUCGUGGUUUCAUCUCAGUCUACUGCAUUGGUGACUUUUAAACCUUCCAAGCUCAACAACUCUUGUUGGUUCUCUCGAGGCCGCUGCUAUGUACCAUAUCGUGGUACAUAUGUUCCAAGCUCGCUGUCAUCCACCUCCUUUGGAUCAGUGCAAUAAAAACCAUCUCCCCAAGUUCAACAAAAAUCUCAAAAGGUGUUCGUCGACAAUGUCGAGUUUGCUAUCGUAUGGGAGAUACUGCCAUCAAUUGUUGUCAUUGAAUGGACUCUAUCAAGAUCGCCAUCGACCAAACAAACUUGCAACAAUGGUAGCCAUUGCCUCCACCCUACCCAACACUUGGCACAUCGACACUAGAGCCACUCAUCAUCUCACCCCCGAAAAUGUCCAAAUUCCAACUUAUGAUGUUAAUGACACUGUUGAGAUAGAUAAUGGCAACGGUGCACAUUUUGGUUCCUCCACCAUCUUGUCCUCUUCUUCACCUCAAAUCUAUACUUCAUUGUCCCAUAACUUCACACAAUUUAUUAUCUACUUACCAUUUUUCCAAAAAAAAUAAAUUGUCUCUUUAACUUCGAUGCCUCUGGUUUUUAUAUUAAGGACAACGAUUUGGGGAGGAUACUAUAUUAAGAGCCAAUUGAGAACAGCUUGUACCCACUUUGUACUCCAUUAUAAUCCAUCGCUCUAAAGGCUCAUUACAGUUCAUCCAUCACCACAAAUCAAUGGUAUCUUCAUCACAAUCACCUGUCUCAUGAUAUUGCCAUCUUCUUCAUCAUUUCGGUUUCCAAUAAAUUGGGCUCUCGCUUUGCUUUUUAUGUCAGCAGGUUAAGUCCUCUAAAAUUAUUACAUUAUGAUGCAUGGGACCCUACUCCCACAUUAUUUUAAUCUAAUUUUUCCCAUUACGUUCUCUUUGUCAAUGAUUUUUCCAAAAAUUCAUGAUUAUUUCCUAUAAGAUUAAAAUAUGACUUUUAUGACAUCUUUGUAAGUUUUUAAAAGCAAGUUGAAAAUCUUUUGCCGCACACUAUCACCACAUUUCGCUCAGACGGUGGUGGCAACUUCACAAAUAAUACCUUUAACAAUUUCUUCAAUCAAAUGGCAUUAUAUAUGAAUAUUCUUGCCCCACGCACCAAAACAAAAUGAUGUUGUGGAGCAUAAGUAUCGCCAUAUCAUCGAAACUAGCUUAGCUAUGAUGGCCCAUGUUAAUAUGCCUUCUAAAUUUUGGUUAGAAGCCUUCACCACAACCAUUUACUUGAUAAAUCGCAUACCCUUACUUCAACAUCACACUUUCUUCCCACAUCGAGUUUUAUUUCACAUCUUCUAAUUAUUCACACUUACAAACUUUGGCUUUCUUCCCAUGGCUCCAAUCUUACAAUGCUAACAAAUUGCAACUUAGAUCAACCCCCUAUUCUUUUAUAGGCUAUAGCUCCAGUCACAUAGGGUAUCAUUGUAUGGAUCUCUCAUCUAGUCGAGUACAUAUUUCUCAUCGUGUCAUCUUUGAUGAAACUAAAUUUCCUCACUCCCAGUCAUUCCUCACAUCUUCCAACUCAUAGUCUCGAUUUCUUUGGAGUCAUUCAAACUAAGCAUGUUCAUUAUGGUCCUUCCAUUACUUCACAUGUCAUUCUCACAUCCAACAAUACCUCCACAGUGCCUUCUUCAUCAACUACCGAACCUACCUUUCAAACCUCUGGCCAACCCCUUCCUCCACUUAUUGACAAUCAACCUAUCCCUCCUUCCAUUCACUCAAUGCAAACAAGGUCUAAACUUGGUAUUACCAAACAAAAGGUCUUUUCCCACACCCUUCACCCAAUUCUAUUUAUACUUGCUACCAACCAUAUCUCAAAACCAACAUAUUACUCUCCAGUAAUGAAGGACCCUCGAUGGCAUCAUGCCAUGGAUCAAGAAUUUACCUAUCUUCAACAACAAAAAACCCUUAUGAUUCUACUAUGAACGUAGUGGGUUGUAAUUGGUAUUUUGAGUUAAACGAAAUCCGAGUGGCUCUAUUAGUCACUACAAAACUCGCCUUGUUGCUAAGGGCUUUCAUCAAUAGUAGGGUGUUGACUUAAUUGAGACCUUCAAUCUCGUGGUAAAACCUAUCACCAUUCAAAUUAUUUUAUCUCUUGCGAUCUCUCACAAUUAGCCACUUCGACUAUUGGAUGUCAAAUGUGCAUUUUUACAUGGUGAUUUGCAGGAAACAAUGUUCAUGUCCCAACCUCCGGGCUAUGUUGAUCCGGGCAAAUCUAAUCAUGUUUGUCAUAUGAAGAAAUCUAUUUAUGGUCUUCGUCAAGCCCCUCAAGCCUAGUAUGACAAGUUUAAUUCAAAACUCUGAGAUUUUGGAUUCACCGUCUUUAACUCCGAUCCAUCACUAUUCAUCUUCCACUAAAGGCAUAGAACUAUAUAUCUCGUCCUAUGCAUUGAUGAUAUCAUACUCACUAGCAAUGAUACUUUAACGUUGCAAUAGUUAAUCUCAUAUCUUAGACAUCAUUUCCGCGUGAAAGACCUCAGACCUCUUUUUUAUUUUCUUGGUGUUCAGAUAACAUAUAAUUCUAAAGGUGUACAAUCAAUUAGUCAAAGUAUGUUAUGGAUGUUCAAAAACGUGCAAAUAUGAACGGAUGUAAACCAAUCCCAAUGCCUGCAAUGUCUCAAGAACUUGGCCGAGGUGAUGGCCCUCUACUAUUGAAUCCCACUCUUUAUCGUAUUCUUAUUAGAGCGCUACAAUAUCCUACUCUGAUGCAUCCUAACAUUUCUUCAACCGUCAAACAAGUUUGUCAGUUUCUAAAGUCUCCCAUUGAGGAUCUUCUUGUGGCAAUCAAACUCAUUUUGCGUUAUUUAAAAGGCAUAAUCACUCAUAGUCUUCACUUUUGUCUAAUCCAACACCAAUUCAUUGCCUAUUGUGACACUGAUUGGGUAGGCUACCCAAUUGAUCAACACUCUACUAGUGGGUAUCGUGUUUUCUUAUGUUCCAAACCCAUUUCUUGGAGUGUUAAGAAGUAAGCUACAAUGGCACAUUCUUCAUCUGAAAUUGAGUACCGGUGUCUGGCUGAGGUUAACACUGUAGCUAAAUUAGUUUGGCUAUUCUCCUUGUUACGUAAACCGCAUUGCCCACUCCUUACACCACCCACUAUCUAAUGUGAUAAUGUUUCAACAAUCUCUUUUGCCAAGUGAAGGAAAUUACCUCCAAUUCCAUAUUGUGAUUUAUUAGUAGCUCCAAUUUGGAAUCUUCCACUACUGCUAUCUCCUUUUUGAUAGGAGGAGCUUGCUCAAUAGCUAACUUUGAUGCUUCCUUUCCAAGGAUGACCACAGCAUGUGCUUCAUCUAGUAGGCUGCACAUGUUGUCCAAAGCAUUCUAUAGCUUCUCAAUUUUUUGGUUUUUGGUUUCUUCCAAGUCAAUAUGCAAUGGGACAGGUAUUUCCAUAAUUAAAUGAUGUAAAGCAAGAGUCUCUCUAUGUGUACAAAAUAAUUAAGACAUGCUCGUUCGUACUAAAAAAAGUACUUGUGGGUCCCUUGUGCUUCCUGAUAGAAGUAGUCCAAAGAGUCCCACAUCGUCAUAGAUGAGACUGUUUGUUUGAAAAUCUACUACUAUCUUGGGCAAGAAAAUUUUCCUUAGGUGUCUAAUCAGUCUACCAUGAACUGAUUAGUGAUAACUCUUAGUUGAAAAUCUUUUGCAUGCUAAAUAUUUGAACCUAAAUUACAAAUUAAUAUGGGCUUGGGAGAGCUAGAGCUAAGUUUAAGACUUAGUAGUCCAUUAGCAAAACCCUAGAUAGCGCACCCAAGAUUGGGUCGCGACAAUUUGGAAACAAGAUUUUUUCUUAUUUCUUCAUUUGAAACAGGCUCUUAUUCUAUUUCUGCAUUCUUUCUAAAUUCAAGGACUAACUAUUGAAUCGCAAAUAAAAAACAAGGAGUAGAUUCAUAGGUCUGAUGCCUUGUAAUAGAACAUAGGGAUAAUAGAUCACAUAGAUUCAACAAAUGAGGUGGGUUCAUUAACAAUUCAAAGAUGAAAAAAUGGUAUAAAAAAAAAAAAACAUUUCUUCCUCUUCUAUAUCUUGCAUAUUUUUGCCUUGGUAGAUCUCUCUCAUUUAAUAAAAAUCUUGAAUUUUGGAUUACUAAAAGUUUUGAGUUUUUUCAUCCAGCUAGAAAGGGAUGUGGUCACCAGAGGAGAAGCUAAGGCAAUUAUCUUCAAGUGCUCGAACAACCGUGUUACGGACUAGCGGGGAAGGUGGUAGUAUCCAAUGGAGCAUUAAUUUGAGCCCCAACCUCAACAUAUUUGGCAAUAGGUUCUCUCUCACUUAGUCACUCACUCACUCAGUAAACAAAGGCAACGAAUGUUAAAUUAGUGAAUCUCUCUCACUCACUUAGUAAAUAAACUCGAUGCAUGUUAAAUUAGUGAAUAUCUUUAAUGACGCUAGAUAGAAUUUUUUUAGUGUUGGUAAAGAUUCAUUAGCAUUAUCUGAGCCAAAAGAACGCAGUUGUAGCGCUUAUUUUUUAUGUCACAACCUCAAAUUAAUGCUGAUAAAUUAUUGUGCUCCUCUUCAUUUCGAAGAUGGGAUCAUAAGUAACCAACUUUGCUUUGUGACUAAUGGCAGUUGGGGCAAUGGUAGGCGGUCGUGCGGCGGUCGUGCGACAAUCGUGCGGCGGUCAUGCGGCAUUGUCUAUACCAUCUCCAGCAAUUAGAUUUCUGUAAAGUAAACCAUUUUUGGUUAUCUUCAAAUAUGAGCUGAAGAAAAUGUCUGCAACUUGUAAUCUAUUACCUUACUUCUCUUUACUAUUUCAUUGAUGCAUACUACUCAUGUCACUGUAAAUUCAGAUAGUCUACUACAUCUUUGCCAAAUGACAACAAUUUAUCUAGUCCACAAGACACAGCUGCAGAAGAGGAAAGUAACCUACAUCUAGCUUUCCAUUCAUGAACGAACCAUGUUGCUAUUGAUUUUCAUUAUGUCAAGGAAUAAGUUAGGCAUAAAACUCUCGCUAUUAAGUUCAUCUCCAGCAAAGAUCAAAUUGUAGAUUUGUUCAUAAAAGGUCUAAGUUCUAAUCGCAUCAGAUUUUUGCGACUAUUUAAUAAAAGUCUUGAAUUUUGGAUUACUAAAAGUUUUAAGUUUUUUCAGCCAGCUAGAAAGGGAUGUGGUCACCAGAGGAGAAGCUGAGGCAAUUAUCUUCAAGCGCUCGGACAUCCAUGUUACGGACUAGCGGGGAAGGUGGUAGUAUCCAAUGGAGCAUUAAUUUGAGCCCCGACCUCAACAUAUUUGGCAAUAGGUUCUCUCUCACUUAGUCACUCACUUAGUCAGUAAACAAAGGCAACGAAUGUUAAAUUAGUGAAUCUCUCUCACUCAGUAAAUAAACUUGAUGCAUGUUAAAUUAGUGAAUAUCUUUAAUGACGUUAGAUAGAAUUUUUUUUAGUGGUAAAGAUUCAUUAGCAUUAUCUAUGCCAAAAGAAUGCAGUUGUGGUGCUUAUUUUUCAUGUCACAACCUCAAAUUAAUGAUGAUAAAUUAUUGUACUCCUCUUCAUUCCGAAGAUGGGAUCAUAAGUAACCAACUUUGCUUUGUGACUAAUGACGGUCGGCGGCGACGGUCGGUGGUCGUGCGGCGGUCGUACGGCGGUCGUGUGGCAAUUGUGCGGUGGUUGUGCAACGGUCGUGCAGCAUUGUCUAUACCAUCUCCAGCAAUUAGAUUGCUGUUAACUAAACCAUUUUUGGUUAUCUUCAAAUAUGAGCUGAAGAAAAUGUCAGCAACUUGUAAUCUAUUACCUUAUUUCUCUUUACUAUUUCAUUGAUGCGUACUACUCAUGUCACUGUAAAUUCAAAUUGUUUGCUACAUCUUCGCCAAAUGACAACAAUUUAUCCAAUCCACAAGACACAACUGCAGAAGAGGAAAGUGACCUACAUCUAGCUUUCCAUUCAAGAACGAACCAUGUUGCUAUUGAUUUUCAUUAUGUCAAGGAAUAAGUUGGGCAUAAAACUCUCGCUAUUAAGUUCAUCUCCAACAAAGAUCAAAGUGUAGAUUUGUUCAUAAAAGGUCUAAGUUCUAAUCCCAUCAAAUUUUUGCGACUAUUUAAUAAAAGUCUUGAAUUUUGGAUUAGUAAAAGUUUUGAGUUUUUUUCAUCCAGCUAGAAAGGGAUGUGGUCACCAGAGGAGAAGUUGAGGCAAUUAUCUUCAAGCGCUUGGACAGCCGUGCUACGGACUGGCGGGGAAGGUGGUAGUAUCCAAUGGAGCAUUAAUUUGAGCCCCGACCUCAACAUAUUUGGCAAUAGGUUCUCUCUCACUUAGUCACUCACUCAAUCAGUAAACAAAGACAACGAAUGUUAAAUUAGUGAAUCUCUCUUACUCACUCAGUAGAUAAACUUGAUGCAUGUUAAAUUAGUGAAUAUCUUUAAUGACGUUAGAUAGAAUUUUUUUAGUAUUUGUGAAGAUUCAUUAGCAUUAUCUAAGCCAAAAGAAUGCAGUUGUGGCGCUUAUUUUUCAUGUCACAACCUCAAAUUAAUGCUAAUAAAUUAGUGUACUCCUCUUCAUUCCGAAGAUGGGAUCAUAAGUAACCAGCUUUGCUUUGUGACUAACGGUGGUCGGCGGCGACGGUCAGUGGUCGUGCGGCGGUCGUACGGCGGUCGUGCGGCAAUUGUGCGGUGGUCGUGCAACGGUCGUGCAGCAUUGUCUAUACCAUCUCCAGCAAUUAGAUUGCUAUUAACCAAACCAUUUUUGGUUAUCUUCAAUUAUGAGCUGAAAAAAAAUGUCUGCAACUUGUAAUCUAUUACCUUAUUUCUCUUUACUAUUUCAUUGAUGCAUACUACUCAUGUCACUGUAAAUUCAGAUAGUCUGCUACAUCUUUGCCAAAUGACAACAAUUUAUCCAGUCCACAAGACAUGGCUGCAGAAGAGGAAAGUGACCUACAUCCAUCCAGCUUUCCAUUUAUGAACGAACCAUGUGCUAUUGAUUUUCAUUCUGUCAAGGAAUAAGUUGGGCAUAAAACUCUCACUAUUAAGUUCAUCUCCAGCAAAGAUCAAAUUGUAGAUUUGUUCAUAAAAGGUCUAAGUUCUAAUCGCAUCAGAUUUUUGCGACUAUUUAAUAAAAGUCUUGAAUUUCGGAUUACUAAAAGUUUUGAGGUUUUUCAUCCAGCUAGAAAGGGAUGUGGUCACCAGAGGAGAAGCUGAGGCAAUUAUCUUCAAGCGCUCGCACAGUCGUGUUACGGACUGGCGGGGAAGGUGGUAGUAUCCAAUGUAGCAUUAAUUUGAGCCCCAACCUCAACAUAUUUGGCAAUAGGUUCUCGCUCACUUAGUCACUCACUUAGUCAGUACACAAAGGCAACGAAUGUUAAAUUAGUGAAUCUCUCUCACUCACUCAGUAGAUAAACUUGAUGCAUGUUAAAUUAGUGAAUAUCUUUAAUGACGUUAGAUAGAAUUUUUUUAGUAUUUGUGAAGAUUCAUUAGCAUUAUCUAAGCCAAAAGAAUGCAGUUGUGGCGCUUAUUUUUCAUGUCACAACCUCAAAUUAAUGAUGAUAAAUUAUUGUACUCCUCUUCAUUCCGAAGAUGGGAUCAUAAGUAACCAGCUUUGCUUUGUGACUAAUGGCAGUCGGUGGCGACGGUUGGCGGUCGUGCAACGAUCGUGCGGCAAUCGUGCAACUUGUAAUCUAUUACCUUAUUUAUCUUGACUAUUUCAUUGAUGCAUACUACUCAUGUCACAGUAAAUUCAGAUAGUCUGCUACAUCUUCGCCAAAUGACAACAAUUUAUGCAGUCCACAAGACACGGUUGCAGAAGAGGAAAGUGACCUGCAUCCAACUUUCCAUUCAAGAACGAACCAUGUUGCUAUCGAUUUUCAUUAUGUCAAGGAAUAAGUUGGGCAUAAAUCUCUCGCUAUUAAGUUCAUCUCCAGCAAAGAUCAAAUUGUAGAUUUGUUCAUAAAAGGUUUAAGUUCUAAUCGCAUCAGAUUUUUGCGAACCAACCUUGACCUUCAGCUAACCGUGCUAAGCUUGAGAGGGAUGAUAACAUAUCAUCCUAAAAUCGAGCAACUUGAUCUCUUCCAUCUUUCUAAAAAAUUGCGUUCUUUAUUUUCCAAGUCUUGAAUUACCAGAAUCAAGAAAAAGGAGUUUGGCUAUCCUCCUUGUUUUUUUUUUUCCAUAUAGAUGGGAAUUAGCACGACAAUCCAUCGUUAGAAUUCCCCGCUUAAAUCUUUGCUCCCCAUGGUGAGAAUUGUAUCCGCAGCUAUUGAAUCUUGAGCCCAAAGAAUUGGAAUGCCCUUAGUACUGGAUCAAACCCCGAGCGACUAACGUUGAAACAGUUUUGAGUACACAACACGUGCUUAUCUAUACUUAUUAUAUAAAGCAACAUGAACCUCGUACUUUUACGACAUCUUGAUCAUUUCUACUUCCCAAACGUCCUCGACUAUUUAUUUUACAAAUAUAUUAUUUGCGGGCAUACUCAUAGAUUAUUAAUUCUACCUUGUCUUUUGCGAAUUAAUUUUAAAUUUUGAAUCUUGUAUUCAAUAGGAUAACCUUCCUAAAAAAAAAAAUUCAGAUCUUAAAAUAUUUUUCUCUUUCCUCAUAUAUUUAGACAAUAUCUUUCGUAUGGAUAUUUUUGUCAACCCAUUACUGUAAUAAUAAUAAAAUGUACGUACUAAGGUCGGCUUUUUCUUCCCAUCUGUAGCAUAAAUGCAAAACUCAUGCAUAUUUGCUAGUCUAAGUAAAGCAUACGUGAAAAAUCAUAUCAUGUCGCUACNNNNNNNNNNNNNNNNNNNNNNNNNNNNNNNNNNNNNNNNNNNNNNNNNNNNNNNNNNNNNNNNNNNNNNNNNNNNNNNNNNNNNNNNNNNNNNNNNNNNGAUCUUGUUGUUGCUUGAAUGGAUAGGAACUCAUCCUUCUUUACUAUGAUUAAAAGUUGAGAUAAUUGUCAAAAAAUCCUAUACCUAUUUUUACGGCUAAUAAUUCAAUCAUAAAUCUUUUAAUUGUGUUAAUUUAGUCGUAAACCUUUCAAUUGUGCUAAUUUAGUCUUAAAUAUUAUGAUAAUUCGUCAAUUUAGUUUAAACCUUUUGACAACAUGCCAAAUUUAAUUGAAAAUAAAAAAACAUAGACGCUAGCCAUCUUACAUGACGUGGUUAGUGUUGAUAUGAAUAAAUUUUGCAUUUUUAAAAGUUGGUCCCUUUUCUUUCCCUUUGCUUGUGGCUAUUACUAAGCUGUAGUCAAUGAUCUUCCACAAGUGAGAGUUGCCCUUGACUAGAUCUCGCUAGCUGCAAGCAAGAUGAGCCUCGUUAGAUUGGGCAAGGGCAACCCUUGCCUAGCCCAAGAAAAGAAAAAAAAAAUAGAAAAAAGGGAAAAAAAGAAAAAAAGAAAAAAAUUAGAGAAAUUUUUACAAAUUGUCCACAUCAACGCCAAUUACAUCAUAUAAGUCUACUAUAGCUAAUCAGAUUGUCACGUUAGUAUUUUCUAGUCAAAGUUGGAUAAAAUGACUACAUUGGCAAAUUCUUAAGAAGUUUAUAACGAAAUCAACAUAAUUGAAAGAUUUAGUAAUAAAUUGGUCCAUAUUAUUAAAUUACACUCUUUAAUCCAAAAUGAUCCGAUUCAAAUCAAUCUAUUUAAGUUAUAUUAACUCAUUUUCAUGGAUAUGACAUACACUAACCCGAUCUUGACCCGAUCCUUAUUUGGUAUUCGUGUCCAUUAUUUGUUUUUUUUUUUUCUCUUUUAUCUUGUCAAGAUUGUAUAAACUUGGUCUGAUAAGAUGAAGAAUUUCUUUUCAAGAAAAAUGGGUCAAAAUUUAUGUAAAUUCUGUCACUUUUAAGUCAUUAACGGUUAUGUGUGUGAUGCUCAAAGUUGGUAAUAUAUUCUAAUAUGGUAUCAAUUAGUAUCUUGUUCUAACGAGGUUUAAUUACCAAAGGUCACAAUUUCAUACAAUUAGCGUAGCCUUUUCGUUAUUCCGCAAAACAACAUGAUCUUGGACAGAUCUCAAUUUCGUGUCUUUGAAAAUGUAAAAAGAAACACACGAAUUGCGUUGUCUAGCAAGAGACACAUCGCGACUACAUGGGUUACACAUAGGGCCGUCAAAUCCUAUCUCGCAAGAGAUAAUUUUUUCUGUCCGUCCAUUAAUCCUUUUUAGGUUUGUCUCGGGUGGGUCGCGACAAUAAUUUCUUCAAAGGAUGAAGGAACUGUUAGACAAUUCAUAUAAAACUUAACAAUUAGAUGAAGACAUACCUUUCUCCAUAAGGUUGGUCUUCAUGAUUUUCACAAUUAGAUGAAGACAUACCUUUCUCCAUAAGGUUGCACUUGAUGAUGAUCGUUGUAGAAAACCGAAAGAACUCGAACCAAAUGAAGAAAUCCGAUUUCUCUCCUUUAACCCACUAAACGUUAAUGUACUCAAUUGAUGGAGGAGAGAAUACGUUAUUUGGAGGAGAGAAUACGUUAUUUCAGUUACUGUUGUUCAUUGUGGGUGGAGAGAGGACCGGACUCUAUUUAUACGUUCAUUAAAAAGGUGCCUUCCAUCAAAGCGAUGUACCCUUUCGUUUUAUUAGAGUCAUACCUUCUCGUAACCAAUAAUUAAUUAUAGCAUUUCAAUAAUUAUUAAACCAUAUAAUAAAUCACAUAAUAUGGGUCACAAUAAUUCUUAAGGAACGAGUUCCACAAAGAAAGAAAGAAAGAAGGAAGCCAUAGUAAGAAGAAACAAAAUGUUCCUCAUACUUCCCUCCACCGAAGAAUAAAAGAGAGAAUCAGAACAAAUUUAUUGAAAAUUGCUCGCAAUCAAGCGAUCCAAUCGUCAUCUCUUCAGAGAGCAGAGAGCCCAGAUCCACCGGGGAAAUAAGCCACCACAAUAGGUGGGGACUCGGGCUCCCUCUUCCCAAUUUCCUUCAUUUUCUCUUCACUCGCGACGCCAUCUUUGCUGCCUCUCGAAUCGCACCGCAUGUGAUCUUCUCCUUCGCAGCCCACCCUCUUCGCACCACCACCGGAGAAGCACCCCGAGCACGAGCCGGAGACGAGGAUCAUAGCGGCCGCAGCAGCGACUACGACGAUGGAAAGAAGGUGUGAGGAGCAGAAAGUGAACUUUCCGGAGCUUUUUCGAUGUGAUGCCGAUCUCAGUCGCUUCCUCUCUUUAUAUAUAUAUAUAGGGUUGAAGGCGGUUCCCAUGUGUUUUCAAUACCAAACCCUAACUUGAUCAGCUUCCUCCUCAAGAAAUUUCUGGGAGACUCCGUAAUUAGUGGUGAAUAAGGAAAAUGCGUUGGGGUUCAUUCCUUUAAGAGAGCGGAUUGGACUAAUCGAUGUCAUUAUUACAUGACGACAAACAUGCUUAGUGACUAAGGAAGCGGUAGUUGAGAAAUCC
rnacentral:lncRNA from 1 species